UCCACCGCGAGGUGGAAUCUGAAGGAAGCUGGCGGCAAAGUCCCGGCCUGACGAACAGAAACUGCAUAUUAGGCCUAAAUGGACCGGAUGAGAUUGCCAAACAAAUCGAAGUCCGAUACUGUCCGGGGUUCACAACAAGGUAGAUGCAGCAGGUAUAUGGGAUGAAAGUCAUUACU
rfam:Sphingobacterium sp. 21, complete genome.